rnacentral:rRNA from 1 species
GACGAACGCUGGCGGCGUGCUUAACACAUGCAAGUCGAGCGGUAAGGCCCCUUCGGGGGUACACGAGCGGCGAACGGGUGCGUAACACGUGAGCAAUCUGCCCAUCACAUCGGGAUAACUCCGGGAAACCGAAGCUAAUACCGAAUACGACCACCUCCGGCAUCGGAUGGUGGUGGAAAGUUCCGGCGGUGAUGGAUGAGCUCGCGGCCUAUCAGCUUGUUGGUGGGGUAACGGCCCACCAAGGCUUCGACGGGUAGCCGGCCUGAGAGGGUGACCGGCCACACUGGGACUGAGACACGGCCCAGACUCCUACGGGAGGCAGCAGUGGGGAAUAUUGGACAAUGGGCGAAAGCCUGAUCCAGCAACGCCGCGUGAGGGAUGACGGCCUUCGGGUUGUAAACCUCUUUCAGCAGGGACGAAGCGCAAGUGACGGUACCUGCAGAAGAAGCACCGGCCAACUACGUG